rnacentral:rRNA from 1 species
UACGUAGGGUGCAAGCGUUAAUCGGAAUUACUGGGCGUAAAGCGUGCGCAGGCGGCUUUGCAAGACAGAUGUGAAAUCCCCGGGCUUAACCUGGGAACUGCAUUUGUGACUGCAUGGCUAGAGUGCGGCAGAGGGGGAUGGAAUUCCGCGUGUAGCAGUGAAAUGCGUAGAUAUGCGGAGGAACACCGAUGGCGAAGGCAAUCCCCUGGGCCUGCACUGACGCCCAUGCACGAAAGCGUGGGGAGCAAACAGG